CUGGAUAAAACAACAAACUGUGUCCAUCUUCAUUUCAGACUGUAAAGCAACAAAAUGAGCAGGACAAGAGAUCUAUUGACUGAUUGUGACUGAUUGAUUGUGACUAAAGCACUAUGGUGAACCCAACAGCCCACUGUUCACUACUGCCACCUGUGAAGUCAAAUGUCAGCAUACGGGGACCAGUCACUGAGCUAAUUUACAUCUGUGCCUUUACCAGGCCAUAAAAUGCAUCCACCAGAUCUGCGUUGGGACACGACUCACUGCAGGCCCAGCGUGGAUCUCUGCAAACAGAUGCUCAGAUUUAGCAAUGAAACAAAUGUAGGCCUUACAUAUUCUUUUGCCUUACAUAUCCAAAAGAAGAUUUUAUUCGAACUCAUAAAAUGAAUAAUAAAAAUGCAGAAUAAA